rnacentral:rRNA from 1 species
CGCUAUCUACAGGCUUAACACAUGCAAGUCGAGGGGCAGCAUGGUCUUAGCUUGCUAAGGCCGAUGGCGACCGGCGCACGGGUGAGUAACACGUAUCCAACCUGCCGUCUACUCUUGGACAGCCUUCUGAAAGGAAGAUUAAUACAAGAUGGCAUCAUGAGUCCACAUGUUCACAUGAUUAAAGGUAUUCCGGUAGACGAUGGGGAUGCGUUCCAUUAGAUAGUAGGCGGGGUAACGGCCCACCUAGUCUUCGAUGGAUAGGGGUUCUGAGAGGAAGGUCCCCCACAUUGGAACUGAGACACGGUCCAAACUCCUACGGGAGGCAGCAGUGAGGAAUAUUGGUCAAUGGGCGAGAGCCUGAACCAGCCAAGUAGCGUGAAGGAUGACUGCCCUAUGGGUUGUAAACUUCUUUUAUAAAGGAAUAAAGUCGGGUAUGGAUACCCGUUUGCAUGUACUUUAUGAAUAAGGAUCGGCUAACUCCGUGCCAGCAGCCGCGGUAAUACGGAGGAUCCGAGCGUUAUCCGGAUUUAUUGGGUUUAAAGGGAGCGUAGAUGGAUGUUUAAGUCAGUUGUGAAAGUUUGCGGCUCAACCGUAAAAUUGCAGUUGAUACUGGAUAUCUUGAGUGCAGUUGAGGCAGGCGGAAUUCGUGGUGUAGCGGUGAAAUGCUUAGAUAUCACGAAGAACUCCGAUUGCGAAGGCAGCCUGCUAAGCUGCAACUGACAUUGAGGCUCGAAAGUGUGGGUAUCAAACAGGAUUAGAUACCCUGGUAGUCCACACGGUAAACGAUGAAUACUCGCUGUUUGCGAUAUACAGCAAGCGGCCAAGCGAAAGCGUUAAGUAUUCCACCUGGGGAGUACGCCGGCAACGGUGAAACUCAAAGGAAUUGACGGGGGCCCGCACAAGCGGAGGAACAUGUGGUUUAAUUCGAUGAUACGCGAGGAACCUUACCCGGGCUUAAAUUGCAGAUGAAUUACGGUGAAAGCCGUAAGCCGCAAGGCAUCUGUGAAGGUGCUGCAUGGUUGUCGUCAGCUCGUGCCGUGAGGUGUCGGCUUAAGUGCCAUAACGAGCGCAACCCUUGUUGUCAGUUACUAACAGGUUCCGCUGAGGACUCUGACAAGACUGCCAUCGUAAGAUGUGAGGAAGGUGGGGAUGACGUCAAAUCAGCACGGCCCUUACGUCCGGGGCUACACACGUGUUACAAUGGGGGGUACAGAGGGCCGCUACCACGCGAGUGGAUGCCAAUCCCAAAAACCUCUCUCAGUUCGGACUGGAGUCUGCAACCCGACUCCACGAAGCUGGAUUCGCUAGUAAUCGCGCAUCAGCCACGGCGCGGUGAAUACGUUCCCGGGCCUUGUACACACCGCCCGUCAAGCCAUGGGAGCCGGGGGUACCUGAAGUGCGUAACCGCGAGGAGCGCCCUAGGGUAAAACUGGUGACUGGGGC